rnacentral:rRNA from 1 species
GUGGGGAAUUUUGGACAAUGGGCGCAAGCCUGAUCCAGCAAUGCCGCGUGCAGGAUGAAGGCCUUCGGGUUGUAAACUGCUUUUGUACGGAACGAAAAGCCCUGGGUUAAUACCCUGGGGUCAUGACGGUACCGUAAGAAUAAGCACCGGCUAACUACGUGCCAGCAGCCGCGGUAAUACGUAGGGUGCGAGCGUUAAUCGGAAUUACUGGGCGUAAAGCGUGCGCAGGCGGUUUUGUAAGACAGAGGUGAAAUCCCAGGGCUCAACCUGGGAACUGGCUUUGUGACUGGAAGGCUAGAGUACGGCAGGGGGGGAUGGAAUUCCGCGUGUAGCAGUGAAAUGCGUAGAUAUGCGGAGGAACACCGAUGGCGAAGGCAAUCCCCUGGGCCUGUACUGACGCUCAUGCACGAAAGCGUGGGGAGCAAACAGGAUUAGAAACCCCAGUAGUCC